GCUGGCUGCAGUCUUCGUUCCCUGCAACAUUUGUCUCCUGGGUUCAAGUGAUUCUUCUACCUCAACCUCCUGAGUACCCGGGACUACAGGUGCCUGCCACCAUGUCUGGUUAAGUUUUGUAUUUUUGGAUGAGAUGGGCACAUGGAGGGGGCAGUGGAAGGUGGGGGAGGGGACGGAAGUUUCUGCUAUGUUGCCCUCAGCUCAAAGCGAUCCACUUACCUCUGCUCCCUAAGUGCUAGGAUUACAGGCCUACAUGGCCUCACUGGCUGCUGUAAAGUCUUAUUUCCACAGAAGUGAGACAUGUUUUAGGAAGUUUGCUAAAAGACCCCUGGAGACAUUGUCGUUGUGGCCUCCUUGUUAUUUAAUUUGAUGGAUCUUUUCUGCCCUCCUCCUUUUCAGAAAUUAAAAGGAUAAAAAGAUGUACUAAACUUUAAAACUUUUUUUACAGUCCCCAAUUAAACUAAUUAUAAGAACCACCAAAAAAGGGAAAAAUUUUUUCAAAAGCAGUAAAAUGAUAUGGACUGUUGAGAUGUAAAAUAUAGGAAAUAAGUCAUUAUACGUUAAUGUUGCUCUGACAUAGGGACAUAUUAUUGACAAUCAAUCUUUGCUCAAUUUUCAGAGAAAUGCAAUGAUCGUAUCACUGAUCUAUGUAAACACAUUGAAGAACUAUCUGAAAGAAAAUAUGAGUCUUGUUCUUUCACUCAGGCUGGAGUGCAGUGGUGUGACCUCAGCUCACAGAAACCUCCACUUCUCACAUUGAAUUUAUCCUCUUGCCUCAGCCUCCCUAGUAGCUAGGACUACAGAGAUGCGGUUUUGCCAUGUUGGCCAGCCUGGUCUCCAAUUCCUGACCUCAGGUGAUUCACCUGCCUUGGCCUCCCAAGUGCUAGGAUUACAGUGCAAAGGAAGAAUGGUGUACCAGAAUCACCAAAUUAAGCAAGACAGUAGAUCAGCUUUUCUGCAAAAAAAAUUGGCUUCAUGUGUCCCAGGCAAAGUCACCAUUUCCCUCUCCAUGAGCUCCUCUCAGGGUCUACCAGCUACCCAAGCCAGAUGCCCAGGAGUUACUCUGAGGUAUGAUUGUCUCCUUCCCGUAUCCAGCCUAGCAAGGCCUGCUGACUCUGCCCGAACACAAAGCCCAGGUUCUACCCCAUCCUCCUUCACUGCUCUCCAGUGCUCAGUUAGAGCCAUGCCACAGAGCAGCCAGGUCAGGCUCAUUGUAAGUAGGAGGUGGAGCCUGUCAUUCUCUGGACUGUCAUAGGUAGUGCCUUCCACUGUCCUUGGAGUAAACCUCACAGCCCC
rnacentral:lncRNA from 13 species